rnacentral:lncRNA from 1 species
GACGACAAUGUGAUACCAAUAUACGACAUAAUUUUUGUUCAUUUUAGCUAUUGUAUAAAAAUUAAUCAUUUAAGGUUAAUAACUCCUAGGAUUCAUCCAGUGGUUUCAGUCAUACUGUAAAUUCAGAAGUUAUUGCGAGGUUUUUAUCAAUGCAAACAAUGUGACUGGGUGAGUAUCGCUUUCUGCUAACUGAAACAGACC